rnacentral:piRNA from 1 species
UGAGGCUGGGGGCAUCUACCUAG